rnacentral:lncRNA from 1 species
AACGCUUCAUCGUAGAAUCGUCGUUCAACUUUCUAAACGUGUGUCAUCUUUAGGAGAUGUGGGCUAUUACUUUUUAUGUUUUCAGCUUUUCAACUUUUAAUGUUAUUCAACUUUUUUCAUCGUUUUUUUAUAAUGGUCGUCUAUGGGAAUCAUCGUUUUCCGUCGUUUUUUUAUAAUGGUCGUCUAUGGGAAUCAUCGUUCAACUUUCUGUCAACUUCCCUCUUUUCAUCAGCGUCUAUCAUCGUCUUACUUUGGCGUAGAAACGUCAUUUCAACGUCAAAAGCGUCUAUCAUCUUUCAACGUUCUCCGUGUAAAUCAGCGUCCUCGUAUCUUUUAUAGUUUUCGACUUGUGAGCGUUUAAAUAUCGUGUGGUUUUUGUUAAAUUUUUCAGCUUUUCCAUUAGUGUGUAUUGCGUCUGCUAGAGUGCGUGAUGUCACAGCUACAGUGAGAAGGUGCGCUUUUUUAAGACAGAACUUCUGUCUCUAACUCGUCACUACAGCCACAAUUUUUACUCUAUCAACGUAAUUAUUUCACUAAAUCGUAGUCAUACUUGUCGUCUUUCUAAUGAUGUGUCUGGCUUUACCCUCAGACGUAUACUUUAGUCGCUAUCAACCUCAAAGCUUUAGCAGUUACUAGCUUUAACUGCACUGUUUUUGCCUUUGAAUGGGUAAUUAUGAUUUAUGAUUAUUUAAAGACUAAUUGACAGUUACGCUAUUACCCCCACACAUUUCCUCUAAAUCCUUUCAAAAUAAAAGCACCAAUUACAAUUUAUUACCUUUAAUG